rnacentral:rRNA from 1 species
GCCGCGNGNGNGUAAGAGGCCCUGAGGGUGNUAAGCACUUUCAGUGGGGAGGAGGAUAGCAUGGUUAAGAGCUGAGCUAUUGGACGUUACCUACAGAAGAAGCACCGGCUAACUCCGUGCCAGCAGCCGCGGUAAUACGGAGGGUGCGAGCGUUAAUCGGAAUUACUGGGCGUAAAGGGUGCGUAGGUGGUUAAAUAAGUUAGAUGUAAAAACCCUGGGCUUAACCUAGGACUGAGAUUUAAUACUGUUUAACUAGAGUAUGGGAGAGGGUAGUGGAAUUUCCGGUGUAGCGGUGAAAUGCGUAGAGAUCGGAAGGAACACCAGUGGCGAAGGCGGCUACCUGGCCUAAUACUGACACUGAGGCACGAAAGCGUGGGGGAGCAAACAGGGAUUAGAUACCCCUGGUAGUCCCACGCUGUUAAACCGAUGUCCAACUAGCCGUUGG